rnacentral:lncRNA from 1 species
GUGGGGUGGCUGGCCAGUUCUGAAAAGAAGGGCAAGACUAGUGGAGAGAAUUACUCUGCUUCUAUCUUAUCUGGCUGAGGUAAGCUCUUAUCCAUUUUAUUUAGAGCAAAUUCAGAAUGUAGAGUAGAUAAGGCAACUACUCGAUGCGUAACUACCAUAGCAAAUCCCAAUCUUUUAUCUUGGCUCGACAAAGCUCGAGCCAACCACAUCGACAUACAACCAAGUUUCAGAAAACAUCAGGCA